rnacentral:tRNA from 1 species
GGAUGUAGUGUAACGGCAACACACCAGACUUUGACUCUGAUAUUGCAGGUUCGAGUCCUGCCAUC